GGCGGGACCCACUGUGACGCACUUUUUUCCCCGACGCAAUUUCUCGUUCCACUUCCUCUUCUGGAGACAACGAGGGACGGAACGGGUCGGAUUAAUAUCUUAAAAUGACCAGCCGUCUUUGCGCUAGCUGACGGCAGCGCGGGUUCAUGGAUCAAAACACAACUUUUCCUGCAAAUACUUCCAGGCUCAGUGGAGAAGAAGAGGUCGGUGCUUCAGACUGUGGCCAGUGUUUGAAGACGGAGAAACACCGGCGUGAACCGUCUUCUGCCUUCAGCCCUGCGGCCAAACUCCAUCUCACCUAUUCAGCAGCAGCAACGGCAGCAUCGGGAUACUGGUGA
rnacentral:lncRNA from 1 species